CCAUGCUUAAACUAUGUGUGGUGGGGAUUGAACCCAUGGACUCAUGCAAGCUGGGUAAACAAACAUUGGCCCAGGGAGCACACAGAAUCCACAGCAGGGCCCAGACAGCAUCAGGACAGUGGAACUGACAUCUCAUGACAAACAUCCCUGUUGUCCACACCAACAGCAGCUGCACCUGCGUAAGGCCUCCAAAGAUAGACUUUGCCCCCGGAAAGAAGCAGCUGUGGGAAUCGGGAAGCUCUGUCGCACCGACCUGGAGCCAGGAAUGUCCUGAAGCAGUUUCUGUAGGAAUCAUACUCUCUGCUAAACGGCUUUGCCCUCUGACAGAGUCCCUCCUGGUUCUGCCUUGUGAUCAGCAACCAGUUUUUAGUUCAUUCUGCUGGUACUCUUGGCCUUUGUUAAGCAUCUAAACUACAGCUGUCCAAGACUUGCCACAAAAAUGGUUUGUAAAUAAGCUUGAACAGGCAGACUUUGUAACCAUUUUAUUGUUCUGGUGUGGGGGAGGGUAGUAGUGUGAGUGUGUGUGUAUCACUGGGAGGUAAGGAUGGCAGAACUCUCAGGAGGGAGAGCCUGAACGAUGGAGAUUACAUCCACUCUCUCAUAAUUUAAUUCUGUAAAAGGGGAAAUUUAAAAGCCCCGCAUGAUUUAAAUGACCUUUAAGCCUGUAGAUCAACAGGAAUGUCAAGACGUCAGAAUGAAAGCUGGAAUCCUUGAAGACCUGCUUUAGGAACCUGUGGGUCCGGGUCAGAGGUCAUGUAUGGUCUGUGUACUGCAGCCCUCUCCACCUUUGCUCUGGUACCUCUGCAAUUCCAAACAUGGCUGGGCAGGGGCAGUCACAGGUCAGGUCUCAUGCGGAUCAUGGCUGAUCAACACCCUCCUUUGAGACUUUUCAGGGGCAGCUGGGGAAAGGCCUGUCCUUAGUCAGGGCCUUCAGGGAGACCUGAAAAUGGAGGGGAUCAGAGCCCGUGUUCAGCCAACCCA